rnacentral:rRNA from 1 species
CAGCAGCCGCGGGAAUACGAAGGGGGCUAGCGUUGUUCGGAUUUACUGGGCGUAAAGCGCACGUAGGCGGACUUUUAAGUCAGGGGUGAAAUCCCGGGGCUCAACCCCGGAACUGCCUUUGAUACUGGAAGUCUUGAGUAUGGUAGAGGUGAGUGGAAUUCCGAGUGUAGAGGUGAAAUUCGUAGAUAUUCGGAGGAACACCAGUGGCGAAGGCGGCUCACUGGACCAUUACUGACGCUGAGGUGCGAAAGCGUGGGGAGCAAACAGGAUUAGAGACCCCAGUAGUCCCUGUCUCUUAUAC